UACGAAGGGGGCUAGCGUUGCUCGGAAUCACUGGGCGUAAAGCGCACGUAGGCGGAUUUGUAAGCCAGAUGUGAAAUCCCCGGGCUUAACCUGGGAAUGGCAUUUGGGACUGCAAGGCUGGAGUGUGGCAGAGGAGACUGGAAUUCCUGGUGUAGCAGUGAAAUGCGUAGAUAUCAGGAGGAAUACCGAUGGCGAAGGCAGGUCUCUGGGCUGACACUGACGCUCAUGCACGAAAGCGUGGGGAGCAAACAGG
rnacentral:rRNA from 1 species